GUUGUUGUGACUCAGUGGCAGAGUGCUUGCCUAGCAUAUGUGAGGCACUGAGUUCAAGUCUCAGUACCACA
rnacentral:tRNA from 1 species